rnacentral:rRNA from 1 species
AUUGAACGCUGGCGGCAGGCCUAACACAUGCAAGUCGAACGAGGGGCGGACGGGUGAGUAAUGUAUGGGAAACUGCCCGAUGGAGGGGGAUAAAUACUGGAAACGGUGGCUAAUACCGCAUACUAUCGGAUGUACCCAUAUGGGAUUAGCUAGUAGGUGGGGUAACGGCUCACCUAGGCGACGAUCCCUAGCUGGUCUGCGAGGAUGAUCAGCCACACUGGGACUGAGACACGGCCCAGACUCCUACGGGAGGCAGCAGUGGGGAAUAUUGCACAAUGGGCGAAAGCCUGAUGCAGCCAUGCCGCGUGUAUGAAGAAGGCCUUCGGGUUGUAAAGUACUUUCAGCGGGGAGGCGUUACCCGCAGAAGAAGCACCGGCUAACUCCGUGCCAGCAGCCGCGGUAAUAC